GUUUCUGUAGUGUAGUGGUUAUCACGUUUGCUUUACACGCAAAAGGUCUCUGGUUCAAAACCAGAUAGAAACG
rnacentral:tRNA from 1 species